AGCAGAGCCUGUCCACGGGAAAGCAGCCUUCCACUGGUGCGUCUGUGCUCAGAUUCUGGGCGCUGGGAAGCCGGACCCUCCUCCUUUACCAGCUCGUGUUGCCGGGAACCCCUCCUGGGCUGGGAAGCGUUAGCAAGUCAAGACGACAGGGGUUUCUGCUCUCUUGCUCCUGAAUCCCAAGCGGUGCCUGGCACGGCACGGGGUGGGUGCUGGUGACCCAGGGCGGAAUGGAGGAGCGCACCAAGGAACCAAAGGAGCGCACAGCUAGACCACACUGGAGACAGACACGGUGGAGACAGACACGGUGGAGACCGUCGGAGGUUAGACGUGGAAUAAGACUUUUUGGCAGUCCAUCUGAAAAUUUCUUGCACUUGUGAGGUCAUCGGCAGGAUCAAAUAUGCUACAUUCCCAGAGUCACCUCGGUGACUCAGCCGGUUGAACAUCCGACUUCGACUCAGGUUAUCAUCUCGAGGUUCGUGAAUUUGAGCUCCGCAUCAGGUUCAAGGCCGUCAGAGCAGAAGCCACUGGGGAUCCUCUGUUCCCCUUCCUUUCUGCCCCUC